GCCUUCGUGGUGUAGGGCUCAUCACGCUCGACGCGUAACCGAGAGGUCCGUGGUUCGAGUCCCGGCGAAGGCA
rnacentral:tRNA from 1 species